GGCACUUCCUGGUACACGUUACACUUUUGAUAGUUACGCAAGAGGGAAAAAGGAGCAUGUUUUGUUUACUUUCUCUAUCGAAUACAGUUUGCCCCGUCUACAAUUUGAUCGAUUAUUAACGUUUAAAAAUACCUAAAGUUGGAUUACAAAAGUAGUUUGAAAUAUUUUGGCAAAGUUUAUUGGCAACUUUUGAAAUGUUUUGGAGUGACGUUGUCUUUUGGAAAGCUGUUUUUUUCCGGAUCAAACCUGCUUUAUAAAUGGACAUUUUGGGUAUACAUGGACGCAUUUAAUCGAAAAAAAAGGACCAAUUGUGAUGUUUAUGGGACAUAUUGGAGUGCCAAAUAAGAAGCUCGUCAAAGGUCCAUGAUGAUGAUGCAAUCGCCAUCACACUGCACGCUGCCCUAACCUAUCUGGACAAGAGGAAUUCCUACAUUAGAAUGCUGCUAAUGGACUAUAGCUCAGCAUUCAACAACAUAGUACCCUCCAAGCUCAUCAUUAAGCUCGAGGCCGUGGGUCUCAACCCUGCUCUGUGCAACUGGGUUCUGGACUUCCUGAUGGGCUGCCCCCAGGUGGUGAAUGUAUGAAACAACAUCUCCACUACCCUGAUCCUCAACACAAGGGUGCAUUCUCAGCCCCCUCCUGUACUCCCUGUUCACCCACGAGUUCGUGGCCAUGCACGCCUUCCAACUCAAUCAUCAAGGUUGCAGACGACACUACAGUGGUAGGCUUGAUUACCAACGACGACGAGACAGCCUACAGGGAGGAGGUGAGGGCCUUCAGAGUGUGGUGUCAGGAAAAAACACUCUCACUCAAUGUCAGCAAAACAAAAGAGAUGAUCGUGGACUUCAGGAAACAGCAAAGGCAGCACCCCCCCUAUCCACAUCGAUGGGACAGCAGUGGAGAAGGUGAAUAGUUUUAAGUUCCUCAGUGUACAUAUCACUGACAAACUGAAAUGGUUCACACACACAGACAGUGUGGGGAAGAAGGCGCAACAGCACCUCUUCAACUUCAGGAGGCGGAAAAAUGUGGCUUGCCACCAAAAACCUUCACUACCUUUUACACAAUUGAGAGCAUCCUGUCGGGCUGCAUCACCGCCUGGUACGGCAACUGCACCGCCCACAACCGCAGGGCUCUCCAGAGGGUGGUGUGGUCUGCACAACGCAUCGUUGGGGGCAAACUACCUGCCCUCCAGGACACCUACAACACCCAAUGUCACAGGAAGGCAAAAAAGAUCAUCAAGGACAAUAACCACCUGAGCCACUACCUGUUCACCCAGUUUCCAUCCAGAAGGUGAAGUCAGUACAGGUGCUUCAAGGCUAGGACAGAGAUUGAAAAACAGCUUCAAUCUCAAGGCCACCAGAUUGUUAAACAGCCACCACUAGCACAGAGAGGCCUACCUACCUACACAGACUUGAUAUCAUUGGCCACUUAAAUAAAUGGAAUACUAGUGACUUUAAUAAUGCCGCUUUAAAAAUGUUUACGUAUCUCGCAUUACUCAUCUCAUAUGUAUAUACUGUAUCCUGCACUAUCUAUUGCAUCAUGCCAUUCUGUCACUGCUCAUCCAUAUAUUUUAUACUUAUUCUUAUCCCUUUUCUUUACUAGAUUGUGUGUAUUUGGUUUUGUUGUGGAAUUUAUUAGAUAUUUGGUUUUGUUGUGGAAUUGUUAGAUAUUAUCUCUUAGAUACUGCUGUACUGUCGGCUCUAGAAGCACAAGCAUUUCUCUACACUUGCAAUAACAUCUGCUAACCAUGUGUUUGUGACCAAUAAAAUUUGAUUUGAUUUCCACCGG
ensembl:lncRNA